rnacentral:lncRNA from 9 species
AUGUGUGGCUUCCACCGCGGGACGGGGCUUCAGACAGUCCCGAAAAGAGGAAGGGACGGAGCAGGAUGCAGCUGCGUGGGGGUGAACAGCACAAGCCGCAGAUUCCUCUGUCAGCACGUGACCUCCACAGCUGGCACCCGACUCCAGAGUGUCAAGUCCCUGUGGCCAAAGCCGGGGCAGCAAACCCUGUCCUGGAGCCCUUGGACCCACUGUGCCGUCCAGGCCCUUCCCCCUCGGCCGGGAGCAGCCCUGGAGGUGAGCAGGCCUUCAGCAGGACCCCAGGCCACCAGGAUGGGCUCACCAGCCGUUCGCCGCCCCCUGGGAACCCACGGCUUGGAAAAGGGGCUGCGACCGAGGUCCCUGGAGCAUGGAGGAGGGAAGCUGGGGAGGCCGGAACAGACACCUGAGCCUCCAGUGGAAGCCUGGACCUCGGGCCUCUGGCUCCAGAAAGCCACCCGAUGGACCUCAGUGACUCAGUGACGGCGUCACAGAAAACAGAGAUUGCUCGGCGAUCGCGGCUCCUCUGUCUGGCUCCGUGAGCAACCGAGCCUGUCACCGUGCCCAGUCACACUGAAAGGAAUGUUUGCUGCAGGACAGAUAACAGGCUUUGGCACAGAUGAUACGGUUGGGAAAGCCAUCAUCAGAGGUCUUGGGAGCCGCGGGAAGGUCAGGAUCCUGGAGCUGUGAGGCUUCCGCGGGCCGCCAGGGGGCGGAAGAGGAAAUCCGGGCAAAGGCUGUGGAAAGGCGCUGGGCUGUGUCUGUGUCGGGAAGCGCUCCGUCCUCACCCGUGAGCUCCUACAAGCCCAACCCGGCCUCACUGCCCUGGCCUCUCACCACCACACCUCCACCCAGGGCUCCGCGGACGGCUGUCCUCCGGGAGACGGCCGACGCGCUGCGUGGAUGGACGGACAGAUGGACAGACGGACGGACAUGUGGGGGAUGGAAGGAGGGAGGGAGGGAGGAGGAGGAGGGGAGGGGAUUUUAAGGACUGGCUCACGCCCCGGUGCCCUGGCAGGUCCUAGUUUUAGAGGCAGGUCAGGGGACUAGGAACGCCCGCAGGAGGGCACGCUGAGACUCUGCAGAAUUUCUUCUCCGGGAAACCUCAGUUCCUGCUCUUAAGACCUUGAACAGACUGGAGGAGGGACCCCUCCUCUCCUAGACAGCCGGUCGCAGACAGGAACCAACGUUAGUCUCACCUCCCAAGGCCUUUGGCACAGCACCGGGACUAGCGUGUGGCCUGUCACUGGGCCAAUGGCCCAGCCAAUGGACACAUAAAAUUAGCUGCCCGAGCUGACCUCGGGAGGCCCAGGUUGAGGUGUUGGGAGAGAUGUGGCUUUUCCCACUUAAACCCGAGGGACCAGAGCCAUUUGGACAGCGGAGUGGCCCAGUCGAAGCGGCACAUUCUCUGUUGCUGCAGGGCUGGGGGGUGGAGCAGCGGACCUGCGGGCCCGAGGUAUGAGAAACAGUUGGAGGGACACAUGGGUGACCCAGAGGAAAAAUGAC